rnacentral:rRNA from 1 species
GAUGAACGCUGGCGGCGUGCCUAAUACAUGCAAGUCGAGCGAACGGACGAGAAGCUUGCUUCUCUGAUGUUAGCGGCGGACGGGUGAGUAACACGUGGAUAACCUACCUAUAAGACUGGGAUAACUUCGGGAAACCGUAGCUAAUACCGGAUAAUAUUUUGAACCGCAUGGUUCAAAAGUGAAAGACGGUCUUGCCGUCACUUAUAGAUGGAUCCGCGCUGCAUUAGCUAGUCGGUAAGGUAACGGCUUACCAAGGCAACGAUGCAUAGCCGACCUGAGAGGGUGAUCGGCCACACUGGAACUGAGACACGGUCCAGACUCCUACGGGAGGCAGCAGUAGGGAAUCUUCCGCAAUGGGCGAAAGCCUGACGGAGCAACGCCGCGUGAGUGAUGAAGGUCUUCGGAUCGUAAAACUCUGUUAUUAGGGAAGAACAUAUGUGUAAGUAACUGUGCACAUCUUGACGGUACCUAAUCAGAAAGCCACGGCUAACUACGUG